CGAAACGGCGCGUGCGGAAUGGAUAAGUGAUUAUUAUGAGGUGGGCCCGUUUUCAACCGACCGCCGCUGAAAAGUAAAAACAGAUCUCUCUUCUCCCCUUCGACCACCUCCUGAUACGAGAAGGCCAUGGAUAUGGAGAUCGCGACUACCGGCGACGAAGAAGUAGACUUCUUGUCGGAUCCAAUGGACAGAUUUCCCCUGCCGGAUCUGGCCGACGAAGAUCUGGUGCUCGCCCAUGGCAGAAGCCAAGCUGUAGUAUGCGAACCUGCUGAAUCCAUCAUUGGCGAAGCGGGGGACGCCGUACUAGCAGUGGAAAAUGACUUGAACAACACAUGUCAGGGGAUUGCCCUCUCUGCGCCAGCCUCCGAGCAAUCUACGGGGAAAGACGACCCUCAAGCCCCUGCCUGGGUGAGAAGAAUCCGUGUUGAGAGGAGUGCGCUGGAACUAACAAUACGAAGCUAUGCAGAAAAGAAAACUGAAACGGUCAUAGUUCCUGCUAUGGGAGGCAGUUUUGAUACGCUUGGGGAAGCUUAUGAUUACUACAAUCUAUAUUCAUGGGAGGUUGGGUUUGGUAUAAGAUAUGGGAAGAAACCUCUAAAUGUCGAAAGAACAAAAUGCAUGCAGGAGAUAGUUUGUGGCUGCUCCGAAAGCACUCGUUUCAUUUUCACUUGCACAUAUCUCUGCCUAGGUGGCAAUGCAUAAUUGCGAAAUUCAUAAACGUGAGACUCUUGUUCUGAUGAUUUCAGGGAAUUCCAAAGAAGGGUAACAAACGAACAUGCCGAUGCAGAUGCCCCGCAAUGAUACGAUUGCUCCGGUCAUCUGACAAUGGCUGGUACAUAACCUACUACAGAUCAGAUCACAACCAUGCUCUAACUGAAAGAUGUGGGGAGAAACCGAGAAAGUGUACUGGCCUUCCCACAAACAUACCGAUAUAUACACACGGGAUGUCAUUAAGCAACUCCGUGAAAAUAACAUCAGUGUCAUGAAAGUUUACAAUAUAAUUGGUAGCUUCUUCGGGUCAAUGACCAAUAUACCAUUCACCAAAAGAGCUCUCCGAGGUUUGUGUGGCAAGAUGAGUCGAGAACAAGCCGAUAAUGAUGUGAAAAAGACAAUGGAUGUUUUUGCAGAGUUGGGAGCAAAAGAUUCAGGCUUGUACUACAGGGUGCAACCUGAUGUUUUUGCAGAGUUGGGAGCAAAAGUUUCAGAGUUGAGCUUGUCGGCGGCCGAUUCGCAGCUAUCAACAGGAAAAGAUGACCCGCAAGCCCCCGGGUGGACAAAAAGGGUUCGUAUUGGACGAGCCCCUAUCGAGCGUGCACCUUGUGCUGGAAGAGUGUGUGCCCUUGAAAAAACAUUAAGUGGAUAUGCAGAGAACAAAACUGAUACCAUUGUGGUAUCAGUUGUUGGAUACAACUUCGAUUCAUUGGGAGAAGCAUACGACUUCUACAAUCUAUAUCCGUGGGAAAUUGGUUUCGGAAUAAGAUACGGAAAAAGCAGACUCAAUGUCGAGAGAACCAAAUAUAUGCAGGAGAUAGUGCGUGGAUUCUCGGUGAGUGGAAAUUAAAUUCAUUAUCUCAUUCGUUGGAAUUGCCCUGCCGCGCCAACCUCGAAGCAAUCUACAGGCAAAGACGACCCUCAAGCCUUUGGCUGGACAAAAAGUGUCUGAGUCGGGCAUGCACCCGAUGACAGCCCCCCAUGUGCUGCCAGGAUGAGUGCCCUGGAACAUUAAGAAGAUAUGCAGAAAAGAAAACUGAGACAGUCUGGUUUAUCAGCAGUACCUUCUUCAGAAAAAAUAACCAUCCCUGUGCAGUCUGAUUUAAUCCACUCUGAAUGCCGCACUGUUCGUAUCGGCCAGGCACCUAUCGAGCGUGCAUCCUGCCCUGGUAGAGUAUGUGCACUUGAAAAAACAUUGAGAGGAUACGCACAGAAGAAAAUUGAUACCGUUGUAGUAUCUACUAUCGGAAGCAGCUUUGAUUCGUUGGGAGAGGCAUACGGCUACUACAAUCUAUAUUCAUGGGAGGUUGGAUUCGGAAUAAGAUAUGGAAAGAGUAGGCUCAACGUCGAGAGAACCAAAUGUAUGCAGGAGAUAGUAUGUGGAUACUCGGGCUAACCAAAAAGAGGUAAUACACGGACAUGCCGCUGUGAGUGCCCUGCGAUGAUACAUUUGCUGCGAUCAAAUGACAAUGCUUGGUACAUAAGUGAGCACAGGCUAUCUCACAACCAUUCUUUGACAGGUAAGUGCGGUGAGAAGGUAUACUGGCCUUCCCAUAAACAUAUAGAUAUAUACACAAGACCUUGUGAGACAGCUUAGAGAGAACAAUAUCAGCAUCGGAAAAGGGUACAACAUAAUUGGUAGUUUCUUUGGGUCAAUGAGCAAUGUGCCUUUCAGCGGGCUUUGAGGGGUCGGUGUGGUAAGGACAGCCGGGAUCCGGCGGAUAAUGAUGUCCGAAAAACGAUGGAGAUUUAUAUUGUGGUCAACUGGAGCAAGCAGGAUGCAGUACCAUUACUUCGGAGAAACAAAAGCACGACAUGUCCACGGAGGGUUGACCUCCCUCGAAGAAAAGGAAAGAAGCCAAAUGCUCAAUCUGUGGAGUGGGAAAGCAUUGGAAGAACACCUGCAACAAUCCUAAGAUUGUGUUACAUCUUGCCGAGAAAGCUGCCCAUGAACGAGCUGUAGAAAUGUGAUUAAUCUGUAUAAGCAGCGAGUAUCGCGUUUAUCACUGAAUUUGCACUGUUUCCCCUUGUAUGAUGAGUGAUCAGUAGCCAACGGUGUGAAAUAAAUUAUGUAUUGUCAGCUUAGUAAUUGUGACAAUGUUUCCUCUUGUAUUUGUCUGAACCUCUGAAUUAUGUGGCUAUGUGUUGUUUAAAACUAACUCUCAUGUUACCUAUGUGUGCUGCUGAUGACAUGUUCCACUAUUGGCCAUGAGAGAGAUUUUGUUUUCUAUUCAUCUUUUCCCGAUGA